GCGGUGCAGCGGCAGUGCAGCGGCGGACUAAAAGUCGCGCGUGAAUCAUGGAAUAUGUAACUAACAUACUCGUAUCUAUCUUCGUCCACCAGACAGCACGCCGCCUGCACACACUACUUGUCAAUCCAGUCUCUGAUCAUUUACGUUACUAUUCAAUAGAAAUGUAUAAAACCUGAAGAAGUGUGUUCAACACAGUGCUAUAAAAUAAAUCUGGCAAAGUGCCUCGUAUUUCACCUUCGCCCGCAGGCAUAUCACGAGCACCCACAUAGCGCGGAAGGGGGAAUUCAAUAAAAAUCACAAUCGUAAAAACUAAGACGCCAGCCAUAUAAAAAUACCUAAGAAAGCAUUAAGAGCCGUCCCCUAAUAAUAGGUCCCGCCAGAUGCACGGGACGGCCGCCUGGAAAAGUCACAGUGGGAACUCGAGCGAAGCAAAUUAUUUUUUCGGUCUGCCACACACGGCCCUUGCUAACUCAGCGAAAACUGAAAGCGCUCCUCACAAGAAUCACUAUACGAGGACAUUUUACUCUUAGUCCCAUGCCCGGGACGUUUGGGAAGACAAUCAGUUAUUGGUACACGCAGGUUGAAUAAUAAUAAUAUUUUAACUGUAACGGGGAAGACUAUAUAGUAUACUCAAGUUUCUAUUACGUAGCUAUAAUCAUUACCUGCAAUGGGUCAGAAAAUUUCAUUGGAAGAAAAGCAAUAAUUUAGGUAUGAUGGCUGAAGAGCUCCCGAACAAUUUGGCGCGAAAAAGUGAAGUUCGGAAUAUUUCAGUAGAGAGCGUACGAGGAUUGAGCGCGC